CCUUUUGCAGCAUUUAAACUGAAUCUGAUGCAUAAAAAUUAUUUAUCCAGAAAGUUUCUGGUUCUUUAUUGCUUUCACAGCCUGUUUUCUGGUGCCUUCUUUUAAUGCCUGCGUACCUCUUCCUUACUGCAAGAUCAAAACUGUGUCUGCCAUUUGACACUAUGACAGUCACCCAUGAUCUUAUGAGCCACUUCUUAGUCCCGUGUUCUUAUAUGUGUCAGGAAUGUUUGGUAGUUUCCUGCCUCAUGUACAUUUCCCAUAGGCUUGUACUCUCUUAAAUGUAUGCAAGUUAAUUCUUAAAUUGCUGCUGAAGCAGGUGCUUCCACUCUUAGUAAGUCUGCAUAGGUCUAACUUGAGCACCAAGGAAAGUUGUAUGGGGUGGAAGAGUAGCUUUUUCCUGAGUUUCUUUAAACAUCUGCUUGUCACUUGUUGCUUCAGUGCACAUCUCCCUCUUGUUUGCAGCAGACAUGGAUUCCUUUUAGCACUCAUACUAUACUCUAUUUCCUGGAGAAUUAGGCUGGCUAGCACUGUACAAGGACCAGAGGAAAUGAUCUCUCGACUGAGUCUAUUAAUUAUUGUUCUCUUGAGAAUCUGGUUUGUCCUCAAAAAGGAUGGCAAUAGCAAACAGUAAAAGUGCUCUGGAAACAAAUGCAGUUAUUACUUGCGUUUGGCAAAGUAGGGUUCUGACCUUUUUCCCAAAAUUUUUGAAGAAGGCUUGUUCUGUUUCGAUGUCUUUAUAUAAAGAACAUCAUCAUUUGAGGCUAGAAUUCUUCAUUUCCAUGAAGUUUGAAAGUGAUUUAUUUGAAAGGAAAAUAUUUGGAAAGUUUAGCAAAAUUCCAUUUGACCAGUAUCUAGGAAUGUAGGACAGGGGUAUUCCUGGGCCAUGUAUUCCUGCCCCUUUCUGUUGCAGGGAGCAGCACAUAAUCCCUUACAUAAACACAAAAGCAGUGAGCUCUGCCUCAGAAGCAGCUUUUCUUCAAUUUACUCCUUCUGUCAGAGCGUCCUUCCAGAAUGCACUGACUGAUAGUCAUUUUUCUAUCAGACUGAAUUUGUUUUUGGGGCAGUGUGAUCUUUUAGCUUAAACUGCACUUUUGCUGUCCUGAUAUUGAACCAAGUUUUUCAUUUUGUUUUGGCUGAAGAAGUGAAGCUCACCCUUUGCUGUGAUGGGCAUCUUUACUGUGUGCCUCUGCCUCCUUUUUGUGGCUUUACCUAGGAGUGGUCUUCAGGAGUGGUGGAAACAAAUGGCUAUCUGGGAAAGCAGGGUGGCAGGAGCUUAUAUUAUGGCCUGGACUUGAGGGAAUAUCCACAGUCCUGCUCCCUCCCCAACUGUAGCUUCAUAUGGAGCCUGAGCCUAUCAAGUCACUUCAGUGCUGCAGCAUUCUCCAAGGAGUUGAACACCGCCAUUUGCAGCCUUUCCAACUCAUUGGUUUUUUGUAUUUCCCAUAUUUUAAAUAGAUGCUCUCAUCAACCUCAUUCUGCGGUUCCUCUGAAGAAUCAUCAUCCCCUAAGAGAACAAUCUGCUGCCUCCACAGUUACUGAAUGAGAUCACUCAGUCUCAGCCUUAGUUUUUGUGUGUGGGAAUGGCCUUGUAGAAGAGCUGUCAGUGAAAACAGUCCUAGAACAUAUGUUCAUCAUCUAAUUCAUCUCAAAUAGAGGAAACUGGCGCAAAUAUCAGGUUCAUCAUAAAGCAUAAGUGCACUUGGUCUUCUUGGAUCCUGAGAACCGUGAUAUCCAUCCCUACAUAACCAUAAGAAUACCAUCAAAAGUAUGUUUUCUUUACUUUCUUUCUUACUUUCUUUACUUUACUUUACUUUCUUUCUAAGUAUAUUAAUUGUUCUUUCAGAUAUUUCUCUCUGUGAGUCUUGGUUGACUGUGUCACUGGACAUCAUCACAAAUUACAGUAAAGGCCUGACACAAAAAAAUUAUAAUCUAAAAAAUUCUCAAUUCUUUUUGGUGGAUCAGUCCUUUCAGAGCUGCUCACGCGACUCAGGAAUAGCAGAGAAUUCUUACUGCUGAGAGGAAGCAAAAGUGUGACUCAGGCACCUGCAGAUUAUUCUGAAAUCAGUUGUUUGAAAGGUUUUUGGACAAGGAAGUCCUUAUUAAAGGCAAAGAAUAACGAAGAGCAAAAGAGGAGGAAAAAACCGAAAUACAGCUGAGUUGUGCGAGAGUGAUGGUUAUCUUUAGUGAUUGCUGUACUUCCGUGGAGCUCAUGUGUUUUGUUCUUUUCUCAGCAUUGGCCUCGGCUGAUGUAUCAGGUGUCAGAUUUUCUUAGAGGAAGUGUUUGCACCACUGUGUAGGGCACUAAUGCAGUUUCUCUGCGGAGCUGAGUAUGUUUCUAAUGCUCCCGAUUCAAGAGAGAUAAAUUAAUGUGUGGAGGAACUGUAAGAACACAGUCCAGGAAAUAGAGGUACUGUGAUCUUGAGGAAUGGAGGAGAAUAACUUUGCUUAAUCUACCAAAAGGAAAGAUGCGAAGGCUGUGAUUAUUGUUGGCGAAUACAUCAAGGGAAUAAACAGAAAAGAAAGAGAAUUCUUUCAGUAAAAGCACAGCAAUGGCAUCUAAUAAAUCUAAUAAAUUACAGGCUAGGCAUAAAUGAACUCGGAAUAGAAGUUGGGAGGUUUCUGCUCUGGAAGCAGGGAGAUCCUGGGCAACCUGUCUGCUAGAUCGUGUUCCUCAUCUUCUGAAUGGUCCAUCCUGCAUUCUCUCAUCACAAACGUUGCCUGGAAUACAAAAUCUGUGUUCUGGCCAAAACUGGUGGAGUUCCACAAAAAGCACUGGGGUUCACUGAACAAUUUUAGACCUAAAAGAUUUGCAUUGAGGAAUUUUACUGUGGUUUCUGUGAGUAAAGGACUAUCAGCAUAGUGUAUAUCUGUUCAAAGUCCCAUAUUCUGCUCCAAAUAAGUGAAAAAGAGAGCCGUGUGUAUCCAUGGAGACAAAAUGUGCUGGAGGACAUAAAAUCUGAAAAAAAGUUAUAAGGUAUUUUCAUCUCCAAACUUUUCUAUUGAAUUGACUGUAUUUACAAUCAGGGCAGAUCACUUUGAGAUGUCAAAUCCUAUGUAACAAGUGGCCUUCUGGGCCAUUAAUGUUAGGAAGGCAGGAAAUGCAGAACUUAAGCAAACAAAGCUUGGAGUCAAGUGCAUUAGAUAAAAUGAAAAGUGAGCUUUAAUGUCACUGGGACAAAAAAUAGCUUGUAGUUUUAGUGCUAAUUCCU